CGGACGGGUGAGUAAUGUCUGGGAACUGCCUGAUGGAGGGGGGUAACUACUGGAAACGGUAGCUAAUACCGCAUAACGCGCAAGACCAAAGAGGGGGACCUUAGGGCCUCUUGCCAUCGGAUGUGCCCAGAUGGGAUUAGCUAGUAGGUGGGGUAACGGCUCACCUAGGCGACGAUCCCUAGCUGGUCUGAGAGGAUGACCAGCCACACUGGAACUGAGACACGGUCCAG
rnacentral:rRNA from 1 species